rnacentral:lncRNA from 1 species
GUCGGGCCUUUUCCUCCACUCGGUCCAAACGAUAAUGCAAUUUAUCAAAUUUUAAUUUUACCAUUCUACGCAUUUCUUGCAUCAAAUAUUGGAAUUCUGAUUCGGAAAAUUCUUCUUGAGACAUGAUUUAAUUGCUCACCACAAAAAUCUCAUGUUUCACUCGUAAAGAAAAUUCACACAACUUGGCUUUUACUUCUCUCAAAUGGUCUCACCAAUCACUCUUGCCUUUUUCCACUUGAUUUUUCGCCUCUCGAAGUUCUUCGCAAACUAAGUCGACGAAUCAAUACCGUUUGGCGUCGGCUUACAAAAUUGAUUUGGCUUGGUGGGUACUGAUGUCGGAAAUGGUAGGCUAUCAAACAAAAUAGAAAUGGUUAAGUGUGGCUAUAUAGAUAUGGUCCUUC